GACUGAGUAGUGGUUUAAGCGUUGGACUACGACUCUGGAGACCAGGGUUCGAUUCCCCACUUGGCCA
rnacentral:tRNA from 1 species